AUCAAAGUUUGCCAAACCUACCGUGAGGUAGCGACGGAAAGCCACGGGCCUGAAUCAGGCAGCCGGGUUGCACAA
rnacentral:ncRNA from 1 species